rnacentral:rRNA from 2 species
GCUGACGGCCAAAGCAGCGGGGAAACACCCGGUCCCAUUCCGAACCCGGCAGUUAAGCCCGCCGGCGUUCCACGUGGUACUGAAGUGCGCGAGCCUACGGGAAGCGUGGAAAGCUGUCAGCA